rnacentral:rRNA from 1 species
AGUGAACAUUAAACGGCCGCGGUACCCUAACCGUGCAAAGGUAGCGUAAUCAUUUGUCUAUUAAUUGUAGACCUGUAUGAAAGGCAAAAUGAGGGUUCAACUGUCUCUUAUAAUUAAUCAAUUAAACUGAUCUUCUGGUAAAAAAGCCAGAAUACCCACAUAAGACCAGAAGACCCUGUGAAGCUUAAACUAAACUAUUAAAUCCUAUAAUAACUACUUUCGGUUGGGGCGACCUUGGAAAAAAAAAGAACUUCCAAACACAGUGGCUAUAAACCACUUCAUAUCUAGGCCUACAAGCCCACUCUUAACAUGACCCAGCAUAGCUGAAAAUUGAACCAAGUUACUCCAGGGAUAACAGCGCCAUCUUCUUCAAGAGCCCAUAUCAAAAAGAAGGUUUACGACCUCGAUGUUGGAUCAGGACAUCCUAA